UGCAAUUAACAUAGAAAUACAAAUAAUAAAUGUAUUUUUGGAGUGCAUUACAGACAGAAAACAGCAUUCUUAUAUUUUUUUGGCACUGGAACAUAAUUCAGGUCUGAAAGGGUAAACUGGGUUCUGGCAACAUCAGGACGUUGAUGAAGUUUUAGUUCAUAUUUGGAACAUUCUAAAGGAUCCACAAACUUUAAAGCACCACUGUACCUAUACUGCUACAGUGUACAGUUCAGUGUUCUCUUUCUCUCUCUCUCUCUCUCUCGCUCUCUCUCUCUCUUUCCGUUUUUCGCUCGCUCUCUUUUUCAGGCUUAAGGUUAAGUAAACCCCUUGCCUCCUGUGGAUUUAAAGCUUACAUCACAAGCUGAGGAGUCACAGACCAGUACAGAUCAAAAACAGUGUGAUUGUGUGUUUGAGCAGGGAAUGACAACUGCAGAGCCAAACAUCAGAAAGUGGGAUUGAAGUCUUUGGAAUUUUAGGAAGGUGAUUAUGGACGCUGUGUUUGUGCAGCGUGCUCACGCUUCGGUGGCAUCCAGCGCGGAGUCUCUGCUGGAGGACGCUGCGCAUGCGCAGGCUCAGUGUCGCGCACGUGGAGUCGAGCUGAGCAUUGCAGCAGAGGAGCUGCGUGAAGAAGCGCAGAGUCUGCGCGAGCGCUGCCAAGAUGCGCAACUACAUAUGGCCCGAUUGCGCAUGCGUUUAGCGGAAAUGACUGAUACCAAGAACGCAUACGAAAACCGUGAGAGACAAGUUCGCAAACUGAGCAAACAGCUGUGAAAGAGGGGCAGGGGAAGGGGGUGGGUAGGAUGUUUUGAAAACUAGAUGGACUGAGAUAAACUAAAAACUAUAAAAUUAGUACUAUAAAAUAGAGGAUCAGGCAACUUUAACUGCGUUUCAGGUGUAAUGCAAGAAAAGGACAAAUAAAGAAAAAAUAUUUCUUUUCA